CACAAUUAGAAUCAAACAUUCGAUUGAAGCAAAAUCAAAUUCACCAUAUAGAAAUUAAAAGCAAACAUCAAGUCAUAUGAUUGAAAUCACAACUAAUAAGUCAUGACAUGAAGUUUGAGAAACUAGGGUUCUAGCCACACAUGGCUAGAACAAUAUCAAAAGUUAAAAAGAUGAAAAUAAUGUGCAAUUACAACUUACAAAUACUAGAAAUAAUGUUUCUAAAUGAUUACUGAUCAAACCCUUGCAAAAACCUUCGAAAUCUCCUCACAAAAUGUGCUCUGAUAUGUGUGUAUCUAUAAAAAUGACCCGAUUUCCGUAAUAUGAAAGAUAGGAAAAAUUGCCAAAAGUUUGUUUUUGGGUUGAACACGGCCCGUGUUCAGCAUGGUCAACAACUCCCAUUUUGGUCAACACUACCCGUGUACCCCCUGACUCCGAAUCCAAAUUUGAUUGUUCCAACUAUUUCGUUCUUCGCCUGAUCAUCCCGAAAUCUUCACUAAUGCUUCCCGACACCUCCCAAAGCGCAUUCCAAGUUCCGGAUUACCUGAGAAAGACAUGAAAGUGUGCAAAUAAGGUUGUUCUAUAGACUAACAUGAAUAUGAUGAAAUUCAAUAAAAAUGAUGAGCAAUUAUGCUAAAUAGAUGUAUGAAAAGGGACUAAAAGGUGUGCAAAAAGGUGCACAAAUUACACCUAACAUAGGUACUUCAUUCACAUGCUCUUGAUUCAUAGGAUCUUCAUUCGCAUGCUCUUGAUUCACAUGCACGUUCUCUUGAAUGGCAGACUCUUGAUUCACAUGGACAUGCUCUUGAGUCAAAGGAUCUUGAUUGACAUGUGUUGGAGCACUUAGAGCUGGAGUGCUUGGACCUACUUAUGAAGGACAGUUUCUUGCAUUACUCUCCUUUCUUACUUUACUUGAAGUGCUUGUAGUUGCCUUUACAUCCCUCCAAAAAGGUUUAAUGUAACACUUACCCUUAAACUUUUUAUGGAAGUUAGCAAGGAUGUGCCUAGCACACAACCUAUGUUCAACUUUUAGACAUCUUUCUUUCACAACCUCCAUUAUACACUACAUUGAUUUGGAAUGUUAGUUUGUGAAAAAGGUAAUUUUUGUAAAAGAUAAUUUGUGUAUAUAUGUACCUUGUCUCCAUCUGACAUCAAUGUGAUUCCAUUAUCAUUUCCCCUUCAUCUAUGUCUUCCAUUAGAUUGUUCAAGAACCACUUCCAUGUACUCUUGUUCUCAACAUUUGUUACUGCCCAGACUAUUGGGUAUAUGUUACUGUUUCUAUCCCUGCCUACUGCUGGGAUGAGCUCCCCUUUACAGAUGCCCUUCAGAAAACAUCUAUCUAUCCAAAUUACCUUCCUACACCCAUCUAACCAGUCAUCAACUCCUUUAAAGCUCAUAUAAAACCUUUCAAACACCACAAUAGAAUUAUUUUGGGGCUGCACAUACACUUCAAAACGAGAUACUGGGUUGGCCCUUUCAAGUUCAGCUCCAUAAUCCCACAACUUGGAAUAAUGAUCCUUCAAAUCACCAUCAAUUUCACACAAUGCAAAUCUUUUUGCAUUCCUACAUUGUCCAACACGAACAUUUAUGUUGAAUAACUUGGGUACCAUAGCUUUCAUCUUCCCCGUACUCAUUUUAGGGGGCUCCAAAAUAUCAGUGACAACUUGUUUCCCUAUCCACUUGUAGGUAACAAUUGACCCAAGUUUGAAUGCCUUUGAACAAAUAUGGUCUUCUCUAAGGGACUUUAUUUGAAAUGUUUGCUCAUAUUUCAUCCAGGAAGCCCACAGUCUGAAAAGGCAUUGUGGUCUUUUUCCUUUACAACACUUUACAAGCAACCUAUCCUUGUCAUUCUUCUCAUAAUACAAGUCAUAUCCAUGUGCAACUGCAUAGUUACUGAGAGAUGACUUAAGUUCAGCAGGAGAAGAGAAUCUCAUACAUAGUUCAGGCUUCAUCUUCCUCCAUUCCUGAGUAGCAUCAUGCCUAUGGUAGAUAGUUGGAAGUUCAUUGCCUUUUUCAUCUUCAUCUUCAAUAACUACUGGACAUAACUUGUUCAAAAACUUAUCAUUAUAGGUUCUUUUGAAGAUUCUUUUGCUUGAUGUAACAAUUUCAUCCUCUUCAUGUUCACGGUUCUCAUCAUUUGCCAAAACAAAGUCAACAUCUUCUUCUGAAUACAUAAGUUCUUCAUCGUCUGGUUCUUCUUUCUGAAUCCACUCAAUUAUAGGUUCAUUUUCACGGUCAAUAUACACAUCCACAUGUCUGUUAGCAUUUGCAACCUUAAGAAACUCAGAGUAGUCACAUUCAUUUUAUAGUUUUUGGAGCCCCUCACUCAAUCUCACUUCAGGUAUACAGUAAUACACAUGCUUGCACUAAAAAUCGAUAAGCUUCUCGACAUAUUUAAUGAAAUCGGAGAAAACAAACUUGUUUGCAUCUUCAUUUAGACGUAGUACUUGUGGACCAAAAUACACUAAUGGAUUAGGCACAAAGGUAUUGUUAUAGUGUACAUCGACUUUUGGAAAAACUUGGCUUUCCUCCAUUGAAUCAGAAUGGUGUAUUGAGAGAUUGAGAGAAGAGAAAGGUAAGUAAUGAGGCACUGAUCAAGAACAGAUUAAAUACAAUAGAACCCUAAUUGAUCUUCGUUCGUAAAUGAGGUUUCUUGAUAAAUGAUGGUGGAAGAGGGUAACUGUCAUGUAAACUAUCCAAACACAAAAUGACCAACUUAAUCGGAAGCAACCAGUAAUAAUGACUUAAUUUAUACACAAGAACAAGUUCAAGGGUAAAAUGUGGAUAAAAAAAUAAUGGACUAAAUGUGUACAAAACUAAUAAUAUGUUACCCUUUUAAGUCAUUAUCCCUAACUAAAAUCAACAAAGUUUGUUUAAACGAAGCUAAAGUCAAAAUUGAAACAUUUGAUAUUUCUUCAUCUUAAUAAACAAGUUGAAACCUCAAAUCAAUCAAAUCUCAAAAUCAAUUUGAAUUUCCAAGCUAUGAAUAGUCGGUCGCAACAAUAUCAAGAAUACCGUUUUUUUUACCAUCAUGGGAAAUGCAAAUAAUUGGUUAGCUAAUUUCAAUUGUAAUCCUGAUUAUAUCACAUACUAAUACUUAAUACUUGAUACCGCUACAGUUACAACAUACUUCCCAAUUCCCAUAACAUUAUCACAAUUGAUAUAGAAAAAUCUUUUAUGGUUGCAAUAGAGGGCACAAACGAUCAUACAUGUAUUGGUUAAUUGUAGAUUAUUAUUCAACUGACAAUUUGGAUUUACAACAAAAAACUAUUUUCUAAAGUUAGUUUAUCUAAAUUCCAUCGAAUGUUGUAUACAAGGAAAAAAAAACUUUGGAACUAUAUGAUUUAUGUAUGUUCUUUUUGUUAAUUUGAACAAUACUGUUUUAUUACUUAAAUAUGUAUUUAUCUAAAUUCCAUCAACAUGUUGUAGUUAUUUACAAGUUUUUUUGAAAAUAUAUGAUUUAUGUCUGUUUAUUUUUGUUAUUUUGAAUAAUAUUGCUUUAUUUAAGCGUAAGCAUUUAUUUUGCUCACAUUCUUUUGGAAAAAUAUCUAUCAUUUUAGAAUUCUAUUGGAAAAUGUCUAUAUGCUUUUAGAAAACUUCAGUGUUUACUUAUUUUUGUUUUACGUUUUCUUUUUAUUAAUUCACAUUUAAUAUUUCUUAUCAUUUUGAAUAUUAUUGAUUUAUUACUUAAAUUCAUGGUUCUAAAAUGCAUGUCAUGGCGUGAGGCAUGAUGUAGCCGUUACGAAAACGUCAUAGACGGGUUUGUUAAGCGUGGUGACCAAAUACCGUGUCAAAACGCACCUUAUCGCAUUAGGGUGCGGGUUUUUUCCAAGGCGCGGAAUUUUUUGUUUUUUGUUUUCUCAUCGGGCCUAAAAAUAUUGAAUUUUUGUUAACUUUUCUAUAUUAAAUGAUAAUAUAACACUUCUAAAAACUUGAUAUAUUUGACAUAAUUCUAUAACGAUAUGAUUUAUAUUUUUUAAUGUAUAUAAAGUUAUCAUGCCUAGAAAAACGAAAUGGCUUGUCAAGGCUUAAGUUUGACCUUACCGUCAAGCCACGGCUCAUGUCAUUUAGAACCUUGCUUAAAAUACAUAUUCAUUUGUAAUUUCAAUCUCAUCUUAUAUGUUUGCAAAUUAUUAUUAUUAUUACUAUUAUUAUUAUUAUUUUUUUUUUUUUAAGUUUCAAUGUUGUUUUUAGUUUUAUUAACGGUGUAGUAUAUGAGUUAUAACCUAGUAUACAAUUAAGAAUUUUUUUACAUCUGGAUUUGGUAUGCGUCAAUCUUCGAAGUUGUGUAUAAUUUAGAUAAUCUAAUCAAUCGAGCUUUUCAAUUUGCUUUGGAAAUGAACUAUUUUUAACGGGUUAAGUCAAAUUCAACUAUCCACAACCAAUAAACUAGUACAAACUAUUUUUUUACAAGUUCUAUCACAACUGUUCUACCUGAUUUUGAAAAAUCAUUUAGUUUCAUCCAAUCUAGAAAUUGGUAUAUAACAAUUAGGAAGACGAUUAUUUUUCAUUUGUUGUAAUUAUCGUUAAUAAUAUAUAAUUGUGGAAAGUUAGGAGGGUGCUUAUGUAAACCACAUUUAACAAUGUUUUAAAAAUCGGUUUGAGUGGGCCGGUUAAACCGGUUGGCCGGAAACCAGGAAAGAUAGCGGUUUAACUAUCACCAGUUUUAUGACUAUUUAUGAACCCGAACGAACCAACCGGUUUUACAAAAAUCCGGUUGAACCAAUUAAAUUGAAUAAAAACAAAUGGAAAAUAACCAUUAUGCAUAAUAAACUUAGGUGAUAUUUUUCACACGUAUUUAAGUUUCUCUAAAUAAAAAUAUAUAUUAAAUUUUAUGAAUUUUUUAAUGCAUUUGUAUUCAUUUAAAACUAUAUUUUGUAUCGGUAUUAUAUAUAUAUAUAUUUUUUUGAUGUAUGUGAACAAAUAUAAAACUUAUAGUUAUAUGUUAUUUUAAUAUAUUUGAGUUGAUCUACAAUUUGUUUAUAUAUGUAUUUUUAAUGUUUGAAGAUGUAAAAGUCAAAAUUUAAUUUAUGUAUGUGUAGGGAAAUGAAAAAAAAAUAAAAGAUUAUAAAAACUGAUUGACUCAUUGGUUGAAACGGUUAAACCGGAAAUCAAUUAUCAUAACGAUUCAACUAAAUUCAACUAAAACUAGUUUUUAAAACUUAAUUUAAUUUUUUUCAAAAAUUAAUAUGCUGUUGCCCUAAAUCCUAAUCAAUCCUCAUCACUAAUAAGUUCUAACUUCUAUGUAAGGCCCGUGGGGGGUUAUUUUGGGCUUGAUAUUAGAAACCCUAACCCAUCUAUCGUAUAUGCUUAUAUAUACAAGCAUCGACGGCCGAUGUUUCUAUGUUAGAUUUCUUUCAUCUUCUUGGCCGAUUUCAUAUUUAAUUAUCCUUUCUUUAUUUCUGGCCGCUAUUGUUUUGUUUUUGUUUCUUCGAUCGAUUGAAUUUCGAUUUUUGAUUUACAUUAUUUUUUGUUUUGAUGUUUGCCUCUUCAAUUUUUUUUUACGUCAAGGAAUCAAAGGAUCCGUGUACAAAUAAGCCGAUGCUCUGGAUAUAUGUGAUGAAGGUAGCAUGGUAAUGUGCACGGAGAUCAAGUAACUUUUAGGUCGUCAUGUCUGCUCCCACUGAUUUUCUCUGAUUUGGGGGCCUGGAUUAAACCUACAUUUUUAUACAUAAACUGCUUCUGCCGUUUUGUCUUCCACAAUCUUCAAAUUACCUAUUGAUUCCUAUUCUCUAAGUUUAGAUUUAUGUAAAUUAAACUGUAGUUAUCAUAACCGUUUGCCAAAAUUAAAAGGGUUUUAACCUGAUGUAUAAAAGCAGGGAUCUAUUGCCAAAUUAUAAAGUGAAUCGAUCUCUCGUAAACAUCAGGGAAAUAGAGCUGGGCAUCGUUAUUGGGUGAACCUCUUGAAUUCUUACAUGAUGGACAAGGUUCAGUAAACGAAGCUAUAUUUUUUUUAAAAAAAUAUCGUAUAAUUUACCAUCUAAGCGUGCUAGGUUGUUUAACCUUAUAUUGAGUGGUUUUUUUAUUUAUAAAAUUUUUAUUAUAAUUUACAGAAAAUCUUCGGAGUUGAAAUUUAAAAUCCACAAUAAGAAUAAGGUAAAAGAAUGAUAAUACCUGUUUGUUUUGUAAUACUAUGUCUCAAAAAAGUUAAUAACGAACUAAAUAACAAAGUUUGUUUAGGUUUUAUUAUGGUGCUUUUCUGAGGGUAACAAGUUUGUGGUUGUGGAGGCGAGGUUAUCUAUAAUAUAUAGUAACAACAUUGUUUUGUUUAUUCACAAGAUAAACAGUGUAUCUCAUUACAUCAUUUCCAACCUAUUUUCGUUUUUUCCCUCAUAAAUGGAGUAAAUGAGUAAAUGGAAGCAUAAAUGGAGUAAAUGGAGUAAAUAGUAUUUCAUUUCCAACUCUAUUUUAUUUUCUAUCUUAUCUUUUAUUUCAAAAAAUAUAUUUUUAGAACAUUUUAUUUUUAUAAUUUAUAUAUAUUGUCUAAUACAUCCUUUUAUUAAUUAAACUCUAAAUUUAUGAUUAAUUAUUAUAAAUUAAUAUAUAAAAUGAUAUUAUAAAUAUUAAAUAUUGCAUUUAAAUUAUAAUUAGCAGAUAAAAUAAAUUAGAAAUGUAUAAAUUAAAAAUAAAAGAGACUAAAAUUGACAACCAAACUUUAUCUUUAUUUUUGGGUAACACCAGAAGGAGCUUAAUAUAUAAGCUUCAAUAUAUACUGGUAUCUUGUACGCAUCUUAAUAAAUUAUAAAUAUUGGUUUAUGCAUUUUAUCAAACAUAUAACAUGCAUUAGGAGCCCCAAAAGCUAAAAAAGUUUGUGACUUUAAAAAUUUUCCAAUUCCACAUCAGUCAUCUGUUAUAGCACUACCAACAAACUUUUUUUAUGAUUAUAAACAUGGAUUUUAUAAAACAUAAUAUGAAAUUGGACUUACGAGUAGGUAGGUUGCAAUCGAUCAUCUCUUACCAGCAGGUUGAAAUUGAACCUAUCAUUUCUAUCCUCCUUGAAAUUGAGCACAAGUCUAAUAAAAAAAGAGAAAUAUGAUGAAACAGAGCACAUGGCUUAACUUUAUUGAGAAAUUUUCAGAAUUUAACGAAAAUCAAGGUACCUAAUGAGUUUUUGAGAAGAUGAACAAAACAGAAAAAUUGGAAAAUAAAAAAACCGUAAGUGAAAGAGGAGAAGAUCAACAUACCUUAUGCGUGAUGAGAAGAAGGGUGUUGAUUGGUGGGGGGGCAUGUUCAAAUCGUUAGUCUUAAAGGAUCUUGGUUGCCUCUAAAAGAGGAUGAGAUGAUAUCUUUUCAAAGGCGUUGGAAAGAAAUUGUAGGGCAAGGGUAGAUUAGGAAUAAUUCUCAGUCAACUAUUGUUCUCAAGCUUUCUUGCUCAAAUUUCUCUUAUCCAGUCAGCCAUCCAAAAUCGGUUAACAAACAAUCUCAGAGUCAGCCAAAUACGUAUGACCCGACUCGGUCAUACGUAUAUCAAACAACCCCUUAAUUCUAAUUUUUAGAAAAUUUGUUUUCAUUGUAAAAGUUUUCAAACCCUCGAUUUGAGUCAUGCACCCUCGAAGGUGUGUCUGUAUGAUAUCAACUUGUAAGAUAUCAACUUGUAAUAUCUGAAAAUUUAAGAUCAAAAAUUUCAUUUUAAAUUAAAUAAUUAUAAAAAAACAUUCAUAGUAUUAACUC
rnacentral:lncRNA from 1 species